AACGGGUGAGGAACACGUGAGAAAUCUGCCUUCAACUCUGGGAUAACUCCGGGAAACCGGGGCUAAUACCGGAUAUGAGCCUUGAUCGCAUGAUUGGGGCUGGAAAGUUUUUCGGUUGAAGAUGACUUCGCGGCCUAUCAGCUUGUUGGUGAGGGUAAUGGGCUCACCAAGGCGACACGGGUAGCCGGCCUGANAGGGCGACCGGCCACACUGGGACUGAGACACGGCCCAGACUCCUACGGGAGGCAGCAGUGGGGAAUAUUGGGCAAUGGAGGAAACUCUGACCCAGCGACGCCGCGUGAGGGGAUGAAGGCCUUCGGGUUGUAAACCUCUUUCAGUAGGGAAGAAGCGAAAGUGACGGUACCUACAGAAGAAGCACCGGCUAACUAUGUG
rnacentral:rRNA from 1 species